rnacentral:rRNA from 1 species
AACGCUAGCUACAGGCUUAACACAUGCAAGUCGAGGGGUAGCAGGGUAGCAAUACCGCUGACGACCGGCGCACGGGUGAGUAACACGUAUCCAACCUACCAUUCACACGGGGAUAGCCUUUCGAAAGAAAGAUUAAUACCCGAUAGUAUAGCGAUAAGGCAUCUUAUUGUUAUUAAAGAAUUUCGGUGUUUGAUGGGGAUGCGUUCCAUUAGAUUGUUGGUGAGGUAACGGCUCACCAAGUCUUCGAUGGAUAGGGGUUCUGAGAGGAAGGUCCCCCACAUUGGAACUGAGACACGGUCCAAACUCCUACGGGAGGCAGCAGUGAGGAAUAUUGGUCAAUGGGCGGAAGCCUGAACCAGCCAAGUAGCGUGAAGGAUUACAGCCCUACGGGUUUUAAACUUCUUUUAUAUAAGAGUAAUGUGCACUACGUGUAGUGUAUUGCAAGUAUUAUAUGAAUAAGCAUCGGCUAACUCCGUGCCAGCAGCCGCGGUAAUACGGAGGAUGCGAGCGUUAUCCGGAUUUAUUGGGUUUAAAGGGAGCGUAGGCGGGAUAUUAAGUCAGUCGUCAAAGCCUGUGGCUCAACCACAGCCCGCGAUUGAUACUGGUAACCUUGAGUGCGGAUGAGGUGGAUGGAAUUCGUGGUGUAGCGGUGAAAUGCUUAGAUAUCACGAAGAACUCCGAUUG